rnacentral:lncRNA from 1 species
UCAACACGUAUUUAUGGACGCCGUUUGGGUCUUUGCGUGUCAAAAAAGACGACACAUCAAAUAAGCUUUUAAUUUGAUGCGCCAAAUAGCCAAAUUCUAUUAUACAAUGUUGUGCGUGCUGAAUUUGCAUGCGCAACUAAGCCAAGUGCCACCACUAAGGUUGUCCAACAUUCUCCCCGACAUGCAACCAUCCCAGAGGCAGGGGAGAAAGGAUGGUGAUCCUGCUGGUUCUGUCUGCCUGCCAACCACAUCCCAAGCAGUUUCACCUGAUUUAAUCCUAGCUAGUUGAAAUACAGAAUAAUAAUCAAGCAUUUUGUCAACAUUGAUAACAGUUUGGAAACAGGAGCAUUCAACGUGUUUGAAACCCACCCUCUUCCCCACUGCUUGGAAUGCCAGAGAUUUUUAGAAGCCAUGUUUGCUCUUGGAUGGGCCGAGAAGGGUGAAAUGUCACUUAUAGAGGAAGAAAUGUAAUGUGGAACUGUGAAAUUAUGUUGUCUAGAAUAUGAAUUGGAUUUAGUCACUGCCUCUGGCAUUUACUUAUUCAGAUCAACUUUAUUAUCCCACCAGGGGGAAAUUAAUUUGGUCAUGUGCCUAAAAACACAUACAUAAAAUAGAAUUCAUUUAAAGUGCAAUAGCUACACAUUUCAAUAAAAUUGCAAUAUGUUGUGUACUCAAGGGAUCAACAGACUAUUGGCUGUUGGAAUAAAAGAUUCCCCAUAUCUAUCUGAUUUGAUUUUCUUUUGAAUAAGUCUCUUUCCCCUUGUCUGGCUGCUGCUG